UUCGAUUACCUCAACAUCUUCCUCUGUCAUGAUAUGCUCCGUGGUAGUGGUAAUUGGCUCUGUUGCUGCGAUGUGGUCACUUUCUAAAUGUUGUGAAACUGAAAUUGAUACAUAUGGUUAAUUACAAAGUUUACUACAACCGGAUCUGGCAGUAUGGCGAAGUAUGUAUGCCAACAUCUGAUCGUAAGACAGACUCCGAAAGUGUGCAUUUGCCAAAACAACGUAGCUAUGCAUUAGAGAUGCAUUGCAAAAGUAGCCUUACUCUCCACUGUUCGUCGUCGUCAAAGUGAAGAUCUCCCCCCCAAGACCCCAUCUCAUCAGGGAAGAAGGCAUGAGCCAGGACAAUUCCAGGACCGUCAAAGGCGUAUCUUGAUCAUUCGAACAAUAAACGUGAGGGAUUUUCGUUACAAGAUCCAGGAUCCGACGGCGUAUCGCUUACUUCGAGUGUUGACAUUCCGAUCAACAUCGGGAAUACCGCACCGUGGUGAUUUCAUCAACUUGAAAUGCAAAUAAAUAAUUA